CUGCUGUAGAAAUACCUGUUUCUCAUUCCCUUAGGAGCAGGAAUGCAUCUGUAGCAUGCUUGUAAAAAAGAAAUUCUUGAGGCUGCCAGUAUUAUAGCAAAGAUUAUACAGUAGUUUACAUCUCCAACCAAA
ensembl:snoRNA